rnacentral:rRNA from 1 species
UGGGGAAUAUUGCACAAUGGGCGGAAGCCUGAUGCAGCAACGCCGCGUGCGGGAUGACGGCCUUCGGGUUGUAAACCGCUUUCGCCUGUGACGAAGCGUGAGUGACGGUAAUGGGUAAAGAAGCACCGGCUAACUACGUGCCAGCAGCCGCGGUGAUACGUAGGGUGCGAGCGUUGUCCGGAUUUAUUGGGCGUAAAGGGCUCGUAGGUGGUUGAUCGCGUCGGAAGUGUAAUCUUGGGGCUUAACCCUGAGCGUGCUUUCGAUACGGGUUGACUUGAGGAAGGUAGGGGAGAAUGGAAUUCCUGGUGGAGCGGUGGAAUGCGCAGAUAUCAGGAGGAACACCAGUGGCGAAGGCGGUUCUCUGGGCCUUUCCUGACGCUGAGGAGCGAAAGCGUGGGGAGCGAACAGGCUUAGAUACCCUGGUAGUCCACGCUGUAAACGGUGGGUACUAGGUGUGGGGUCCAUUCCACGGGUUCCGUGCCGUAGCUAACGCUUUAAGUACCCCGCCUGGGGAGUACGGCCGCAAGGCUAAAACUCAAAGGAAUUGACGGGGCCCCGCACAAGCGGCGGAGCAUGCGGAUUAAUUCGAUGCAA